rnacentral:rRNA from 1 species
GACGAACGCUGGCGGCGUGCUUAACACAUGCAAGUCGAACGGAAAGGCUCCAGCUUGCUGGAGUACUCGAGUGGCGAACGGGUGAGUAACACGUGGGUGAUCUGCCCUGCACUUCGGGAUAAGCCUGGGAAACUGGGUCUAAUACCGGAUAGGACCGCACUUUGGUGUGUGUGGUGGAAAGGUUUUUCUGGUGUGGGAUGAGCUCGCGGCCUAUCAGUUUGUUGGUGGGGUAAUGGCCUACCAAGACGGCGACGGGUAGCCGGCCUGAGAGGGUGGACGGUCACAUUGGGACUGAGAUACGGCCCAGACUCCUACGGGAGGCAGCAGUGGGGAAUAUUGCACCAUGGGGGAAACCCUGAUGCAGCGACGCCGCGUGGGGGAUGAAGGCCUUCGGGUUGUAAACUCCUUUCGCUAGGGACGAAGCUUUUUGUGACGGUACCUGGAGAAGAAGCACCGGCUAACUACGUG